UAUGGUCACAUCAUCUUGAAACACCGGUUCCUGUACAAUCACUGAAGUUAACCAACGUUGAGCCUGGUCAGUACCUAGAUGGGUGACCACUUGGAAAUACCAAGUACUGUAAG